AUGGAUGAGAGUGAUUGUAUUAUUGUCAAUUUUCCUGAUGUUUGUGUUGAUUUGAACGCUUUAUUUGAUGCAUUUUGUUCCCCAAUUGCAGAAAAGAAAAACAGAGCAUCAUGGACCACUGCUCAAUUAGACCUUCUAGUUUCUGUGAUGAAAGAGUAUGCAGAUGCUGCUAAAUUUCGUGGUCAGAAUGGAUGGACCAAAGAAGGAUGGAAAAGCAUGGCUACACGCUUGAACAAUCAGUUCCCGAGAGCUAAUUUUAUUGUUGAUCAACUAAAAUUUAGGGAGCAGCGGUUGAAGAAAGAAUAUUUUAUUGUCAAAUCUAUUGUAGAGAAGAGUGGCUUCGGUUUUGAUCCUAUUACAAAAAUGCCAACAACCAUUCCAGAAAAAUGGGAUGAAUUGAGCAAAGAACAACAGAAGUGGAGAUACAAAGCUUUCCCUUAGUAUGAUGAUUUGCAUGCAAUUUAUGAUGGUAAAUCAGCGGAGGGGAAGGAUUGUAAGAGGACAACCUGUAAGGAUGGAAGUGUGAAUACGUUGGCGCUUGGUUGA
rnacentral:rRNA from 1 species